rnacentral:rRNA from 1 species
CCCUUAGAUGUUCUGGGCCGCACGCGCGCUACACUGAUGAGUUCAACGAGUUUAAGUGUCCCAUUUCGGGGUCCUUUUUCCUUAUCCGAAAGGAUUGGGUAAUCUUUUAAAUGCUCAUCGUGAUGGGGCUAGAUUUUUGCAAUUAUUAAUCUCCAACGAGGAAUUCCUAGUAAACGCAAGUCAUCAGCUUGCAUUGAUUACAGUCCCUGCCCUUUGUACACACCGCCCGUCGCACCUACCGAUUGAAUAGCCCGGUGAAAUCUUCGGACUCUGCUGUUUUUCAUUUAUUUGAUGGAUGGUGGGGGAAGUUGAGUUAACCUUGUUAUUUAGAGGAAGGUGAAGUCGUAACA